GAUAUAGCUCAGUUGGUGGAGUGCUUGCCUCACAUGCAUAAGGCCCUGGGUUCAAUCCCCAAUAUAAACA
rnacentral:tRNA from 1 species